UACGAGCGGCCCAAACGUUAUUCGGAAUUACUGGGCUUAAAGAGUUCGUAGGCGGCGCAGAAAGUAGGGUGUGAAAGCCCUCGGCUUAACCGAGGAAUUGCGCCCUAAACUACUGUGCUUGAGGAACCUAGAGGUGAGCAGAACAGAUGGUGGAGCGGUGAAAUGCGUUGAUAUCAUCUGGAAUACCGGAGGCGAAGGCGGCUCACUGGGGGUUUUCUGACGCUGAGGAACGAAAGCCAGGGUAGCGAACGGG
rnacentral:rRNA from 1 species